GAACAGCUGAUCUCUUUCGAUUUGGUUACUUCAUGGCCACAUAAUACUCUCCUCUUAGCUGUAGAUUUUUCUCUGAUAUCUCCCCCCUAUGGUUGCCUCCAAACCCAAGCAUGGCUAUUUCUCUUAACUCAGUCUUCGGCUUCAAUUUUAAGUAUGUCACGAGAUCUUCUGUUGGAGCUUCAGUGUUUAAGGCAAACACCAUCGUUUCUCCCUUGCAAAUGUAUGGCUCUGGGGGAUUUAUACACCAAAAAAGAUGGGGACUAUGUCUUUCACUCGCGGACAGUGACCCACUAUCUGCUGAUAGCAGCAUAAAGGCUUCCGAAGAGGCCGAGAGACUGGUUUCCGAUGAUCGAGAUUCGGCCAUGAAUCCCCCAUCAUUGGAUGAUGAAUCGCGCUCUCAAAACUCUGAGGCUAGUAAUGGUUCAAUGGUUUCUUCAAUUCCAGAGCAGGAUGUGUCAUCGUCUCCAAACUUGCAGUCUACGACAAGAAAAGUUUCUUUAACAGCUAAAGAAAGAUUAAGGGCAGCUCGGGUUCUCAGCCGUUAUACAGAGUCGAAGCCAUCAAAAUCAGAGAUGGGAAGUAAAGUAUUGGAUGCUAUGAGGGAAGGUGAUAAGGGGAAAAAGAGAAGUCGACUUCCUGAAGCACCUACGAAUUUGUUCGAUGACAGCAAGCGAGGAUUACCAAAGCCAGGCCUCACGUUUCAGUUUCCAGGAGGAAACGAUCUCCUUCUCAUCAUCUUCUCGGUGGUCUUUAUCAGCACAGUAAUGUUCACUACAACUUACAUAGUAUGGAAAGUUGGGGCUAUACAUUUUAAUGAGUACUAGGGCUACAAUAAGGUUCAAAUGUUCAAGCACCAUCACUGAAGAUGGCAUGGCAUCUUUGAUUUCAGGAUGUUUUAUUAUCAAUGCUUUAAGUAAAGUCUCAAGUUCGAGUAUUUGUGUAUGUGGAAGAUCCCUACGGGAAGAUUCACCCACCAAAGUCAUGUGCGACAUGAAUCGUUCACGAUUAGUCAAGACGAAGCAUCG